ACCGUGGCUUUAGAUUGUUACUGUAGAGACGGUAACAUGGUAACAGUCUACAGCCAUGGUCG
rnacentral:pre_miRNA from 2 species